rnacentral:misc_RNA from 1 species
GAACGCAUCUUGCGCUCCUUGGUAUUCCUAGGAGCAUGCCUGUUUGAGUGUCAUUAUCACCCCUCAAGCCCUCGGCUUGGUGUUGGACGGUUUGGUGGAGGCCCCCUCGGGGGCUCCUGCCCCUCCCAAAGACAAUGACGGCGGCCUCGUUGGACCCCCGGUACACUGAGUUCUUCACGGGACACGUAUCGGACACAUGGGUUUACGGGACACGGUCUGCCUCCCCUCAGGGAGAAUCUUUCUAAGGUUGACCUCGGAUCAGGUAGGGAUACCCGCUGAACUUAAG